rnacentral:lncRNA from 1 species
ACAACCUUGUGAUAAACACUGACUGGAAACUUCCAUACAUCCUCAAUCUUUCACAACAAUUGAUAAACAAUAAUCUAUAAACAACUUCGUAAAUCAAACAUUAAUUCAUUAAAUCGAUUCUCUUCACUAGAAUCAACACUAACACAAAAGAAACAAGAAAACUAAGAAGAAGAGAUAGCACCAAGCUUAUCCUCGGCUCAAUACUAUCAUAGUCU